rnacentral:ncRNA from 1 species
ACCCCCGUGAGAAUGCCCUCAAAAUCCCGCCCGGAAACGAGGAGCAGGCAUCAGGCACACCCCCGUAGCCCAAGACGCCUUGCUAGGCCACACCCCCAAGGGACUUCAGCAGUAAUAAAUAUUAGGCAAUUAGUGCAACCUUGACCUAACUACGGCUAAUAGGGCCGGUAAAACUCGUGCCAGCCACCGCGGUCAUACGAGUGUGCCCGAGUAGACAGCCGGCGGCGUAAAGCGUGGUUAAGGAGAAACCCAACUAAAGAUGAACCGCCCCCUGGCUGUUAUACGCACCCGAGACUGUGAAACCCCACUACGAAAGUGACUUUAAUCUGACCCGAACCCACGAAAGCUAAGGAACAAACUGGGAUUAGAUACCCCACUAUGCUUAGCCAUAAACACCGAUGGGCACCCCACAACACCCAUUCGCCCGGGAACUACGAGCAUUAGCUCCAAACCCAAAGGACUUGGCGGUGCUUUAGACCCACCUAGAGGAGCCUGUCCUAGAACCGAUAACCCCCGUUCAACCUCACCACUUCUAGCCCAACCCGCCUAUAUACCACCGUCGUCAGCUUACCCUGUGAAGGAUCCAUAGUAAGCUAAACUGGCUCGCCCCAAAACGUCAGGUCGAGGUGUAGCGCACGAAGUGUGCAAGAGAUGGGCUACAUUUUCUGACCCAGAAAAAUACGAAAGAAGUAAUGAAAAACCUUCCGAAGGAGGAUUUAGCAGUAAUCAGGGAGCAGAGCGCCCUGCUGAAGCUGGCCAUUAAGCGCGUACACACCGCCCGUCACUCUCCCCAAGUCUAGCCAUACCACAACAUAUGAAACAAACCUGAUAAAGGGGAGGCAAGUCGUAACAUGGUAAGUGUACCGGAAGGUGCACUUGGAAAACA